rnacentral:rRNA from 1 species
AACGAACGCUGGCGGCAUGCCUAACACAUGCAAGUCGAACGAAGUCUUCGGACUUAGUGGCGCACGGGUGCGUAACGCGUGGGAAUCUGCCCUUGGGUGCGGAAUAACUUCUCGAAAGGGAUGCUAAUACCGCAUAAUGUCGUAAGACCAAAGAUUUAUCGCCCAAGGAUGAGCCCGCGUAAGAUUAGCUAGUUGGUGGGGUAAAAGCCUACCAAGGCGACGAUCUUUAGCUGGUCUGAGAGGAUGAUCAGCCACACUGGGACUGAGACACGGCCCAGACUCCUACGGGAGGCAGCAGUGGGGAAUAUUGGACAAUGGGCGAAAGCCUGAUCCAGCAAUGCCGCGUGAGUGAUGAAGGCCCUAGGGUUGUAAAGCUCUUUUACCAGGGAUGAUAAUGACAGUACCUGGAGAAUAAGCCCCGGCUAACUUCGUGCCAGCAGCCGCGGUAAU